GACGGAGGAUGCAAGCGUUAUCCGGAAUGAUUGGGCGUAAAGCGUCCGCAGGUGGCACUUCAAGCCUGUCGUCAAAGACUGGGGCUUAACCCUGGAAAGGCGGUGGAAACUGAAGCGCUAGAGUGCGGUAGGGGUAGAGGGAAUUCCCGGUGUAGCGGUGAAAUGCGUAGAGAUCGGGAAGGACAUCGGUGGCGAAAGCGCUCUACUGGACCGCAACUGACACUCAGGGACGAAAGCUAGGGGAGCGAAUGGG
rnacentral:rRNA from 1 species